rnacentral:tRNA from 1 species
AUGCCCCUAGCUCAGUGGUAGAGCGGCGGUCUCCAAAACCGCGUCGUGCGAGGUUCGAUUCCUCGGGGGUGUGCCA